rnacentral:rRNA from 1 species
AUGACAAGGGGGGCAAUCUCAAUGGAGAUUCUCCUCUCUGCAAUGGCAGAGGCGAUGGAGUCGCCGGAUCCUCGACAACGAGCUCGUUGGUACAAGUACCACUCCCGCCUCUCAUCGCCGACGCUAGAGGCAGAAGGGCUGGUAAAUUCGCGUGUUAUUGAUGUUGUCGGCGAGGAAAGAAAAGAGGAGGAUAAAGAUUCUGACAACGAAGAGGAGGAAGAGGAUUCUAAGGAGAUGGAGGAAGAAGAGGAUUUUGGCGAGGAAGAGGAUUCUAACGAGGAGGAGGAAGAGGAUUCUGACAAGGAGGAUGAGCAGGAGGAGGAUAUAGCGGAGGACAUCUACCAGGGGUUUGGAGAUCAUCGCAUCGGAGGAGGUUGUAGAAGAGGUGGUCUAUCAGGGGGGUAUGGAGAUCAUCGUUCAUCCUUCGCCGGCAGACAUGAAUCUGAUGAUUCCACUGGACGAAGAGGAUGA